UACGGAGGAUCCAAGCGUUAUCCGGAAUCAUUGGGUUUAAAGGGUCCGUAGGUGGAUAAUUAAGUCAGAGGUGAAAUCCUGCAGCUCAACUGUAAUGAUGCCUUUGAUACUGGUUAUCUUGAAUUAUUGUGAAGUGUUAGAAUAUGUAGUGUAGCGGUGAAAUGCAUAGAUAUUACAUAGAAUACCAAUUGCGAAGGCAG
rnacentral:rRNA from 1 species